rnacentral:rRNA from 1 species
GAUCAUGGCUCAGGAUGAACGCUAGCUACAGGCUUAACACAUGCAAGUCGAGGGGCAUCAGUUUGGUUUGCUUGCAAACCAAAGCUGGCGACCGGCGCACGGGUGAGUAACACGUAUCCAACCUGCCUCAUACUCGGGGAUAGCCUUUCGAAAGAAAGAUUAAUAUCCGAUAGCAUAUACUUCCCGCAUGGGUUUUAUUAUUAAAGAAAUUCGGUAUGAGAUGGGGAGUGCGUUCCAUUAG